GCCUAAGCCAAAGCCAAAGCCUACGCUUAAGCAUAAGCCUAAGCAUUAGUCUAAGCCAAAGCCUGUAUCUAAGCCUAAACAUAAGCCUUAGACUUAGCCUUAGUCUUAGCCUAAGCCUAGGCCUAAACCUACGCCUACGACUAAGGCUAAGCCUAGGCCUAAGCCUAAGCCUAAGCCUAAGCCUAAGCCUAAACCUAAGCCUAAACCUAA
ensembl:ncRNA Y22D7AR.17 ncRNA